UUCUCAAUAAAAUAGCUGGUUAGAGCGCACGCCUGAUAAGCGUGAGGUCGAUGGUUCGAGUCCAUUUAGACCCACCA
rnacentral:tRNA from 1 species